rnacentral:rRNA from 1 species
GAAUUGACGGGGGCCCGCACAAGCAGUGGAGCAUGUGGUUUAAUUCGAAGCAACGCGAAGAACCUUACCAGGGCUUGACAUCCCUCUGACCGGUGUAGAGAUACACCUUCCCUUCGGGGCAGGGGUGACAGGUGGUGCAUGGUUGUCGUCAGCUCGUGUCGUGAGAUGUUGGGUUAAGUCCCGCAACGAGCGCAACCCUUGUCGUUAGUUGCCAGCACUUCGGGUGGGCACUCUAACGAGACUGCCGGCGACAAGUCGGAGGAAGGUGGGGAUGACGUCAAAUCAUCAUGCCCCUUAUGUCCUGGGCUACACACGUGCUACAAUGGCGACUACAGAGGGAAGCAAAACCGCGAGGUGGAGCAAAUCCCCAAAGGUCGUCCCAGUUCGGAUUGCAGGCUGCAACUCGCCUGCAUGAAGUCGGAAUUGCUAGUAAUGGCAGGUCAGCACACUGCCGUGAAUACGUUCCCGGGCCUUGUACACACCG